UGACUUCUCCCUUUCUCGCUGUAACACUGUGUUCUUCUGGGUUUUUUCCUCUCGCUUCCAUCUCUCUUAACUGUUUUCCUCCUCUUCUUAUCAGCCGCCACCUUCAUUGCCUCGUUCUAAAAUAAACUAACUAACCCCCCUUGUGAAACUCAAUACUUGACAGCACAACACCAAUAGAAGUACACCUCAUAAAAGGCAUGGGGGGGUUUGUGCACUUCAAACAGAGGCAGGGAUUAAAAGGCCAUGUCUGUUUACUUACAACCCUCUCUGCAGCUCUUUAGAUUCCCACCACUUCCUAAUUCAAUUACACAGGCAAGCUGAAGACGAGGCUGAAUCUUCAAGAAACACUCUGAUGUGGAAUUUCCCUCCGUCCUACUGACUCGCGUUACAGGGUCUUUGGUGGUUUUGUGGGAAUCAUGAAAGUCUGUGAUGGAAAAAUUUGGCCUAGCACCUGGUGUCUGGUCGAUCUGUCCAAGGAAUAACAAUCUGGUACAGAGGAAGUGAUUUGUUCUACAUUCCUUGUUUACAUUGGAAAGACAGGGGAAAGAACUGGACACUUCAUGAGAAAUGACAGCCGCCAUAACUGAGCAGACAGGAGAAAGACCACCACCUACUGAACAAGUUGGAAACAGAAAAUCCAUGGGAAAGACGUCACUGUAAAUGGCUGGAAUCGUCCAAAUCCGGACACGGACAAUUGACGCGUGGUCACACGUUCGUCGGUACGGUUAUAAAUAUUGGGCUGCACGCAGUGUGCAGACAUUCGCAGUCAGGUGAUGAAAUUUACGUCCCGCAGAGCCUCACAGCCACGUGGACCAAAAAGUGUGAAUUGGGCUGAUGCCACGUUCACGUCAUAUGGGAUAUGAAAGAUUCCUGUGAUUUGUAAACAUUUGGAGAACUCAAGACAGAUUGCAGAGUUGGUCUUGUGUAAAUUAAAUUAAAUUACCAUGAAUGACGGA